rnacentral:misc_RNA from 1 species
UUUCCGUAGGUGAACCUGCGGAAGGAUCAUUAUUGUAUAACCGAGGUGCGAGGGCUGUCGCUGACCCGAAAGGGUAGACCUCCCACCCUUGUGUAUUAUUACUUUGUUGCUUUGGCGAGCGCAAGCUCGCCAGAGAAUACCAAAACUCUUUUUAUUAAUGUCGUCUGAGUACUAUAUAAUAGUUAAAACUUUCAACAACGGAUCUCUUGGUUCUG